UCACUCUGUAGACCAGCCUAGGCCCAAACUCAGAGAUCUGCCUGCCUCUGUGUUGGGAUUAAAGGUAUGCACCACACUUGCCCAGCUGGCCCAUGACUUCUUUUCUAAUGUAUGUAUUGGGAAUUGAAUUAAGGACUUAAGUAAGCACAUUAGUAAUGAAUGAAACAAUGGUUUUAAAACAUGGCAGAAGACAUGCUCAUAGUUGCUUGGAAUGCUGGGUACCAGCAAACUCAUUAGGCACCAGACAAUCUUUCUAACCUACUGGGAAGACAGUAGAGGAAAAGGUAGAAAGAUAAGACGUCAUUAAGGAAGUCAGUCAUGUUCACAGAAGACUGUGAACUGUUAUGAUUUUUCUGUGAGUAAGUUAAGGAUUCAUUUAUGAUCCAAACUAAGGCCAAAUGUAUAUUCUUAUGGCUGUAAAGGUGGUUCCAAGAACAGAGGACAAAGUCAGGUGUCUUUCAUGAUGUGCACACUAAAGGAGUUUUCAAGGAGAAAGCUAAAAACAGCACGUCUCAAGACGCAGCAGGGGACUGCCAACUUUCUUCAGAACUGAAACUAGAAAACCAGAAGUAAGCAACUCGGCUUCCAGCAAAUGUUGACUUUGCACAACAAAAUAUGGGGUGUGCCAGUGUGUCUGGCUACUUGUGAAUAAUGACACAAGGCAGAUGACAUGCCAUGACUAACCGGGGUCUUCUUCCAUCCUAAGCACUUUAGAAUAGAGCAAGCUGUCAGUGUGGAAGGAAGAUGAAGACAAUGACAUGAAGCUACUAAAAAUGUGACUUGGAUUUCACAUACUUCACAUUUUAUCCUCUGUGUAGGAUUGGGAAAGGAAGAACGGGGUUGAGCUGAGUCAUGCCUCUCUUUCCAAAGUUGGACACUACAUUAAAGAGCUAAACAUGCUUAACUUCAAGCUGCAAGGAGACCCAGCAUGCUCAGUGUGCUUCACUUCUGAGAUGCAAGGAGACCCAGCAUGCUCGGGUUCCAUGACUACAGCAUCACUCAGCUCUCAUAGCAACCAAAUGUCGAGGCUGCCAAUGAAGCUGACUCCGGUUUAUCCCUCAACUGUUUAAUUAAUGACCCCAAGGAACAAAGCAGGUUACAGAUUUCCACUCGCUGGAGGCCCCGGCUGGCAUCCUUGUGGUGCUAGGGCACUGUGGAAUCACGAGAUGAUGCAGUCAUGGUGCACAGAGGGGUUCUCCGACAUUCGGCGGCACAGUGGAGAGGACGGCCCAGCCGUGGGUCUUGAGAGACUAACCAGCAAGUGCUCACAAGUCAAAGCUAAAGUGAUGCCUGCUGUUGAGUCACUGAGGACAAUGGGACUAUUGUUUGAAAAUGAAUCAUAAGAACGCGGCCCCCCGCAGUCACCCGAGUUUCUCAUCCGGAGGCACCUAACGCGGGCCGUGGAUGGGAAUUGUCACAGAGAAGGAGGAGCCGGAGUCUUCCUCCCCUCCCCCACUCCUCUGCACCCCACAGGCCUCCCGUUUCUCCAGCCUCAUCCUCACUAAAGCUCACCCUCAUCCCUACCCCAUUCCACCCUCUCCCAGCCCCUCCCACUGCCAGGCUUCCUUCCCACAGUUCUCAGCUGCAUCCCCAUCUAUCCCAGCCCUUAGGCUGACCCUAUCCCUCCCCAUCCUCCCCCUUACUCAGCCCUCUCCCCCACCUCAUCCCGCACAACCCUGCCUUCACCCAAUCCUCCUGCACCCUAUCCUCGCCCCAUCCCAUUUCUCCCCAUUUAAUCCUCCUCUUGUAUCACUGAAAUAAGGCAAAAAAAAAAUCGAAACAAAACAAAAACCCAGAACCAAUACUAAUGUCACCUUCAAAUGAACUGAGACUUAGAAACUAA